CACAUUGAUUUGAGAUAAACGACUGUAAAUAUUCAUAUAAUUAUAUCCUUAAUAGUUUAACCAAAAUAAAUAAGCGUUAAUUAAAUUAUUUUAUUCCUAAAGCGAAAACAUUUCGACUUAAUAUUUCAAGCGCCACCCUAGACGAACAAUCAUCAAAACCAUUAACACGCUGUUGAAUGCUUUAGAUCAACCAACACACUUCCAACUUUAAACGUGUGGCUUGAGACGCCGUCUUUCGUAGACCACCGACGGCAGACUUUGUUUGCAUCAGGUGAAUGACCUCCUUCGGGAUGCGUUGUGAACCUAAAAGUUUGGGGAAGAAAAAGAUUGGUUUCUAAUUUCGGAUUUGGAAGGGGAAGACAAGGGCUAUCCGAGAAUUCGCGAGAGAGGAUUUAAUUGUUUAACUUCGCGAUUCGACUAAGUCGGAUCGGGUAGUUCCGGUCACGAAGUUAAACUAAUCCAGUAAGCCAGAUGACGAAAAGAUCUCCCAACCCAUUUAUUCCCGGUGAUUAGCGUAGGAAAGAUCGGUUUCAGUUCACACCGAAAGUAGAGUUAGACUUGCCCACACUAGAGCUAGGAAGCAUAGGUAGUGCAGUGCAAGAAGUGUUUACGACAUUGGUUCGACCCGAAGAUACAACUGCACAACCACCUAGAAGUCGCCCACGCCCCAGCCGAAGCGAACUCCACUAUUGCUGACGGCUAGCAGACAUCAACACCCAGCCGAACAGUGAUACCGCCUUCAGGACCACCGCGCCGCGGUCUUCUCGAGACUACGAGAGCCGCGGUCAUUUUUCAUCGUCGUGUUCAACAAACAGCAGACCACGACGGCUAGCUAGAGAACAUCUUCUCUAGCCGCGCCGUAACCCGCCGACCAAAAAGUGUAGCUGAAUCACCGCAGCAGAGCUACCACCACAUGAACGCCAACUAGAGUGGUAAGCCGCAGGAGGGCCGCAGUAGUUGACCGCAG